CCCUUAGAUGUUCUGGGCCGCACGCGCGCUACACUGGUCGAUGCAACGAGUUUCUUUCCUUGGCCGACAGGCCUGGGCAAUCUUUGAACAUCGAUCGUGAUCGGGAUAGAUUCUUGUAAUUUUUGAUCUUAAACGAGGAAUUCCUAGUAAACGCAAGUCAUCAGCUUGCAUUGAUUACGUCCCUGCCCUUUGUACACACCGCCCGCCGCACCUACCGAUUGAAUGGUCCGGUGAAAUCUCCGGACUGGCGUGAGUCGGAGCAAUCUGACAAACGCCGGAAAGUUGAUUAAACCUUACCAUUUAGAGGAAGGUGAAGUCGUAACA
rnacentral:rRNA from 1 species